rnacentral:tRNA from 1 species
UAGCUCAGUGAUAGAGCACUUGCCUUGCAUGCAGGAUGCCCUGGGUUCAAUCACCAG